AAAGACUGAAGACUAUCCCCCUUCUUAGAGUU
rnacentral:tRNA from 1 species